GGGCAUGAGACGGAUCUGCCCGCGAAAUUCAAAUUUAUUUUGGUUUUUCGCAAUUUGUAAACUAAUACGACAAAGUAGGCUUAUGGGACUUGAAUUGCGCCAAUAGCAGAAUCAUCCUCACAGGUUUAUAUAAAAAUCUUUACUUGAAAGGGUCUAGUUUAAGAAAUUAGCUAUAGUAUCGACUAAUUUUUUUUUCAAUAUUUGCCAUGUUAAAUGACUAAUAUUCCCCUUUCC